UCCAUGCAACCUGUCUAUUAUCAAGAAUUUCCAAUCAGAACUGUGAAUUUGCUCGAAAUUGUGAAAACCCGAAAACUAGGGGCAAUAAACAAGCUACAGAUUACAAAUAUCUUAUCGAAUUCAUCAAGCUCCCGUACAGGUUAACAAUUGCAGAAUCAUUUGGCCAUAAAGAAAAAUUGCACUACAAAGCCACUCUGCGUUAAUACGAUUGCAGUAAGCUGACAAUUGCUCAAAACGCAAGUUUGAGGAAGUUCCACUUACCGGAUAUCGAGCACGCAUCAUCACGGACAUAGUGGAUCCGUUUGAAUAUUUUGACUUUGACGAAAUGGAUUUUUGGGGGCUGUUGACAUUCAUAUUCCUAGCGGUGUUCUUCAUAAGCUGCUGCAGCUAUUGUUGCACCACAAAGCGACACGGUGCUGUAUUGUCCAGGAACACCCAAAGAAGUCAUAGUUGUAGAAGUGAACAAUUAUUUUGUGCUUGUACAAAGAAAUAUCUACCAUGGCGUUGGUGCACAUCUACAUUCAAACUAUGCAUACAGGUUCUAAGCGAGCGUAUUAUGUAUGUUUUUGUUUGUUAUUAUAAUAUGCAUACAUACCACUGAGUACAUAUAAAAUAAGCGAAGCGUUAUAAUUGAUAGCAAAUUCAUUACGCAUUCAUACACUACUGUGUGUUAUAAAUCUCAAACGUAAAUUAAGUCUACUUAUUACAGAUUUUGUAUUCGCACUCUUUGCUCUGACUC